rnacentral:misc_RNA from 1 species
GAUGAAGAACGUAGCGAAAUGCGAUAAGUAAUGUGAAUUGCAGAAUUCAGUGAAUCAUCGAAUCUUUGAACGCACAUUGCGCCCGCCAGUAUUCUGGCGGGCAUGCCUGUCCGAGCGUCAUUUCAACCAUCAAGCCCCGGGCUUGUGUUGGGGACCUGCGUCCGACGCAGGCCCUGAAAACCAGUGGCGGGCUCGCUGUCCACACCGAGCGUAGUAACUAACCUCGCUAUGGAGUGGCGCGGGCGCCUGCCGUAAAACCCCCAAUUUCACAAGGUUGACCUCGGAUCAGGUAGGAAUACCCGCUGAACUUAAGCAUAUAAUAAGCGGAGGA